GGAGAGAGAAGAGAGGGAGGAGAGAGAGGAGAUGCAAUCUGGAGACCCUUCCAAGCACGGACAGUAUCAGUGGAAGUGAUGGUGACCCAGUCAGACCUGAGUGACAGUGGGGCUGAGAGAGGACCAGUGAAGGUGGAGUUCACCCAACACAGUCUCAGUUACAUGGACAGACUUCUCAUCAAGAGACACCGCAGGAAGCCGAUGGAAGCCUAUCAACCAGUGUCCUCCCUGGUCUCAGUGCAGAGCUCCCCAACACACACACUGACAGGUG